CAGUCGCCGCGGUAAUACGUAGGGCGCAAGCGCUAUCCGGAAUUAUUGGGCGUAAAGAGCUCGUAGGCGGUUUGUCGCGUCUGCUGUGAAAACUGGAGGCUCAACCUCCAGCCUGCAGUGGGUACGGGCAAACUAGAGUGCGGUAGGGGAGAUUGGAAUUCCUGGUGUAGCGGUGGAAUGCGCAGAUAUCAGGAGGAACACCGAUGGCGAAGGCAGAUCUCUGGCUCAUUCUAGACGCUGAGGUGCGAAAGCGUGGGGAGCAAACAGGAUUAGAUACCCGAGUAGUCCCUGUCUCUUAUAA
rnacentral:rRNA from 1 species